CACUCAUAACUACAAACUCUUCCCUUCAGACUACCUUCAUACUGACCCAGAGGUUUUGGUAUGUUGUGUAACUAUACUCAUUUGAUUCUAAGAAUUUUUAAAUUUUUCCCCUGAUUUCUUCUAAUACCAAUUCAUCAUUUAAAAGUUUUUCAAUCUCCAUGUGUUUAUAUAGUUCCUGUAGAGUUUUUUGGUGUUAAUCUCUAAUUUCAUUCCCUUUUGAUCCCAAAGGCUCAAGGAAUUAUAUAAUUUUUUUGUAUUUGAUAAGAGUUGCUUUGUAGCCAAAAAUAUGGUUCCAUGAACUGCUGAGAAGAAUUAUAUUCAGCUCUUGUUGUUGAAUGUAAUAUUUCAUAGAUGUCUGUUAAGUUCAUUUGAUUUAUAAUAUUUUUUAAGUCCAAAGAGUCUUUACUGAGUUUAUGUCUGGAUGACUGAUUUAUUUGUGAGAGAGGUGUAUUAAAAUCACCCAGUUUUAUUGUAUCAGUGUCUUAUCUGAGUCUUUAAUUCGAGUAGUGUCUGUUUUAUGUAAUUAAGCAUACCAACAUUUGGGGCAUACAUAUAUACUAUCAUAUCUUCUUGUUAGAUUGUUCCCUUUAUCAGGGAACUUCUUUGUCUCUUCUGAUUAAAGUUUAUUUUUUGAUCUUGUUUAUUUGGGGUUCUGAUUAAUUUUGGUUUUAAGUCUGUUUUGUCAUGUAUGAGAGUAGCUACAUCUGCUUGUUUUCAGGCUCCAUUUUACUUUCAGCCUGUGGCUGUUCUUGCCUGUAAUGUGCUG
rnacentral:lncRNA from 1 species